rnacentral:rRNA from 1 species
UGUGUAGGUGGUGGUAUUAGUCUCCUGUUAAAGACCGGGGCUCAACCUCGGAAGUGCGGGGGAAACGGUACCACUAGAGGAUGCGAGAGGUGUACGGAACUCACGGUGUAGGGGUGAAAUCCGUUGAUAUCGUGGGGAACACCAAAGGCGAAGGCAGUACACUGGCGCAUUCCUGACACUGAGACACGAAAGCGUGGGUAGCGAACG